CUGAGAGGGUGACCGGCCACACUGGGACUGAGACACGGCCCAGACUCCUACGGGAGGCAGCAGUGGGGAAUAUUGCACAAUGGGCGGAAAGCCUGAUGCAGCAACGCCGCGUGAGGGAUGACGGCCUUCGGGUUGUAAACCUCUUUAGCAGGGAAGAAGCGAAAGUGACGGUACCUGCAGAAAAAGCGCCGGCUAACUACGUGCCAGCAGCCGCGGUAAUACGUAGGGCGCAAGCGUUAUCCGGAAUUAUUGGGCGUAAAGAGCUCGUAGGCGGUUUGUCGCGUCUGCUGUGAAAUCCCGAGGCUCAACCUCGGGCCUGCAGUGGGUACGGGCAGACUAGAGUGCGGUAGGGGAGAUUGGAAUUCCUGGUGUAGCGGUGGAAUGCGCAGAUAUCAGGAGGAACACCGAUGGCGAAGGCAGAUCUCUGGGCCGUAACUGACGCUGAGGAGCGAAAGGGUGGGGAGCAAACAGGCUUAGAUACCCUGGUAGUCCACCCCGUAAACGUUGGGAACUAGUUGUGGGGUCCAUUCCACGGAUUCCGUGACGCAGCUAACGCAUUAAGUUCCCCGCCUGGGGAGUACGGCCGCAAGGCUAAAACUCAAAGGAAUUGACGGGGACCCGCACAAGCGGCGGAGCAUGCGGAUUAAUUCGAUGCAACGCGAAGAACCUUACCAAGGCUUGACAUAUACGAGAACGGGCCAGAAAUGGUCAACUCUUUGGACACUCGUAAACAGGUGGUGCAUGGUUGUCGUCAGCUCGUGUCGUGAGAUGUUGGGUUAAGUCCCGCAACGAGCGCAACCCUCGUUCUAUGUUGCCAGCACGUAAUGGUGGGAACUCAUGGGAUACUGCCGGGGUCAACUCGGAGGAAGGUGGGGAUGACGUCAAAUCAUCAUGCCCCUUAUGUCUUGGGCUUCACGCAUGCUACAAUGGCCGGUACAAAGGGCUGCAAUACCGUGAGGUGGAGCGAAUCCCAAAAAGCCGGUCCCAGUUCGGAUUGAGGUCUGCAACUCGACCUCAUGAAGUCGGAGUCGCUAGUAAUCGCAGAUCAGCAACGCUGCGGUGAAUACGUUCCCGGGUCUUGUACACACCGCCCGUCAAGUCAUGAAAGUCGGUAACACCUGAAGCCGGUGGCCUAACCCUUGUGGAGGGAGCCGUCGAAG
rnacentral:rRNA from 1 species